rnacentral:rRNA from 1 species
UACGUAGGGUGCGAGCGUUAAUCGGAAUUACUGGGCGUAAAGCGUGCGCAGGCGGUUGUGCAAGACAGAUGUGAAAUCCCCGGGCUCAACCUGGGAAUUGCAUUUGUGACUGCACGGCUAGAGUGUGUCAGAGGGGGGUAGAAUUCCACGUGUAGCAGUGAAAUGCGUAGAGAUGUGGAGGAAUACCGAUGGCGAAGGCAGCCCCCUGGGAUAACACUGACGCUCAUGCACGAAGGCGUGGGGAGCAAACAGG